GUUUCAGCAGGACCCUGGUAGGGUUGAAGC
rfam:Natrinema sp. J7-2, complete genome.